rnacentral:ncRNA from 23 species
UGCAGAGUAGGUUUAUGCGCGUUAAGUGCCGGCUGAACAGGGAGUUGUCAGCUGGACGAAAAGGGAAUCAUCCCUUGCGGUGCGUAGGCCGCAUCCCGCUGCA